GAAGCUCUAGGAAAUGCAUUUUAAUGUGUGCCUCUGGUGCGUGCUUCGUGACCUCUACAAACGAUGUAUCGCAAUCUAUAAGUUGCCACUGCCAAGGUGGUAACUGUUUCGCUGGAGCUAUAGGAGAAUGUUCAAGAAGUGGAACACCCAUUUCCUCACUGAGGUUCCUCACACGCAAAGAGAACGGCUUUCUCGCUCCCGGUCGAUUAUGGAAGAGUGUGGCAGCGGUGACGUCAUUGAUAGUUGAAUAAGAAGGAUGUUCAAUGUUCGCGUGUAUUUUCAGAUAAUAUAUAAAACUGUUAUAUGAUCGCUGGAGAUGAAGUGACCACUGAUUCGAUUCUACAUAUAGGCUCGGUGGCAUAGUAACCAAACGAAUGGUCUAAAGAGACUGAUUACUUACAGCUUUUAACAAAAGUGAUGCUUUCUUUUUCGCAUUCUGAACCAAAAGAAAUGCAGGUUGCGUCGUCUCGGAUUGGACCAUUCUUUGGUGAGGGCACGCAACACCCUUGUCUUGUAGCACGAUUUCUACGAUGUACCCGAAGGGCUGCAUUGCUGGAAGGCUGGUGCAGGGAACUUCACCUUGCAAUUUCGACAGAAUGGACAGCAUGAGCAGGUCAGCACUCGUCCGUGAGCUUUCUUUCAAUAUUUCCCGCUGAUCUUCCAAUGCGCAGUAUCAAGUGCCACAGGCAGCGAAUGUCACGUUCCGGAUCCAUCAUCGCCUUACCAGCAGCAUGACGUCACCUGGGCCAACCUCUCAGAUAUACUAAUGGAGUGGACGUCCAAAAGCCAUCCUGGAUCACAUAAAGCCUCCCCCGCUGUUGAGGCUUUUGAGUGGGAGCGGCAGCUUCAUAGCGACUUGUCGCUUAUGCACGGCUGGCUUGCACUUCAGGUGCGGAGGAGAGAGGUGUAGGAGACCUGCCACACGAGAGCUCCGUGGUCGUCGCCACAAGGCCCCCUGGAGCUCCCUGGCUGUUGCUACUAUGCCCUCUAGAACUCCCUGACCGUCAACGCAAUGCCAUCUGGACGGCUGCAAACUAUCAUUUCCUCGUGCCAUCUGUUGCUGGGGCCUGGCCGCUGACUACCACAAGAAUCUAGGCGCCCCUUCCACCUUAUCAAGAAUCUGGAACUUCGGAACAGCUGUGACUCAUCUCUGACGUCACGACGACAAGAGUGCCACCACAGCCUGAAAACAGCCCUGAAAACUUCAGUCUACGGAUUCAUGGCCAUCAAUCUCAGUGGUUACGCUGUGCCUCAUUUCUACAUAGGCGCUUUUCCCCGGGUCAUGUCUUGCAAGGCCCUUCUAACUACAUCGCAAGUUUAGACAAAGCCUCUGUGUCCUUUUCACCACUACUUGGAAUGAAAGUAGCUUGGCAGCUCAAGGUAUACUGUACAGACUGAACAUCCCACGUCUUGGUUUGACUUCCUUGUACAGGAUACUUGCACCCGGCAUGGAGUGAUGAAGCAGGAGGGUGUACUUAAAAGCACAUUUCUGAGCAGUCUAGCAGCAGUUCAUCAACAAAAAGAUGCGUGCUGAAAAUAAAUAGUUC
rnacentral:lncRNA from 1 species